rnacentral:rRNA from 1 species
AUAGAGGUGAGAAUCCUCUAGGCCGAAUAUCCAAGGUUUCCAGGGUAAAGCUGAUCUGCCCUGGGUAAGUCGGGGCCUAAGGUGAGGACGAGAGUCGUAGCCGAUGGACAACAGGUGGAGAUUCCUGUACUAUGAUAUGACAGAACUGUGGGGACACGUGCAGAGAGCGGAAGCCGGGAAUGGGAUCCCGGUGCAAGCGAGGUACCAGCCGCAUUGGAAAAACCGUGCGGCAAUGGGAAGACGUGAUGCGGAGUGAAGUUUAGUAAUGAAGUCCGUGAGCUGUGCGUCAAGAAAAGCCGCUAUUGUUCAUACCAUACCCGUACCGUAAACCGACACAGGUGGAUGAGGAGAGGAUCCUAAGGCCGGCGGAAGAAGCAUUGUCAAGGAACUCGGCAAAAUGACCCCGUAACUUCGGGAGAAGGGGUGCCUGCGAGAGCAGGCCGCAGAGAAUAGGCUCAAGCAACUGUUUAGCAAAAACACAGGUCUAUGCGAAACCGAAAGGUGAGGUAUAUGGGCUGACGCCUGCCCGGUGCUGGAAGGUUAAGAGGAGAGGUUAGCGCAAGCGAAGCUUUGAAUUUAAGCCCCAGUAAACGGCGGCCGUAACGAUAACGGUCCUAAGGUAGCGAAAUUCCUAGUCGGGUAAGUUCCGACCCGCACGAAAGGCGUAAUGAUUUGAGCGCAGUCUCGACAAUGCAUCCGGUGAAAUUGAUGUACCAGUGAAGAUGCUGGUUACCUGCGCCAGGACGGAAAGACCCCAUGGAGCUUUACUCCAGUUUGGUACUGGGAUCCGGUACUGCAUGUACAGGAUAGGUGGGAGGCUAUGAAUCGGUAACGCCAGUUGCCGAGGAGCCGCUGUUGGGAUACCACCCUUGCAGUAUUGGGUUUCUAACCAGCCGCCGUGACCCGGCGGUGGGACAAUGCCAGACGGGGAGUUUGACUGGGGCGGUCGCCUCCGAAAGGGUAUCGGAGGCGCCCAAAGGUUCCCUCAGGAUGGACGGAAACCAUCCAAAGAGUGCAAAGGCAGAAGGGAGCUUGACUGCGACACCGACGGGUGGAGCAGGUACGAAAGUAGGGCUUAGUGAUCCGGUGGUAUUAAGUGGGAAUGCCAUCGCUCAACGGAUAAAAGCUACCCUGGGAUAACAGGCUUAUCACUCCCAAGAGUUCACAUCGACGGAGUGGUUUGGCACCGAUGUCGGCUCAUCGCAUCCUGGGGCUGUAGUAGGUCCCAAGGGUUGGGCUGUUCGCCCAUUAAAGCGGUACGCGAGCUGGGUUCAGAACGUCGUGAGACAGUUCGGUCCCUAUCCGGCGUGGGCGUAGGAUAUCUGAGAGGAGCUGUCCUUAGUACGAGAGGACCGGGAUGGACGGGCCGCUGGUGCACCGGUUAGACUGCCAAGUCUAUAGCCGGGUAGCCAAGCCCGGAAGGGAUAAACGCUGAGGGCAUCUAAGCGUGAAGCCCCCCUCAAGAUGAGAUAUCCCAUCCGAAAGGAGUAAACCCCCUUGAAGACGACGAGGUCGAUAGGGCAGAGGUGGAAGUGUGGUAACACAUGGAGCUGACUGCUACUAAUAGGGUGAGGGCUUGACCG